AGAGCUUCCUCAACCGAAAGACC
rnacentral:snRNA from 1 species